GGACCCGCACAAGCGGUGGAGCAUGUGGUUUAAUUCGAUGCAACGCGAAGAACCUUACCUACCCUUGACAUACCUGGGAUCUUAUAGAGAUAUAGGAGUGCCGCAAGGAACCAGGAUACAGGUGCUGCAUGGCUGUCGUCAGCUCGUGUCGUGAGAUGUUGGGUUAAGUCCCGUAACGAGCGCAACCCUUGUCUUUAUUUACCAUCAAGUAAUGUUGGGCACUAUAAAGAGACUGCCGGUGAUAAGCCGGAGGAAGGUGGGGACGACGUCAAGUCAUCAUGGCCCUUACGGGUAGGGCUACACACGUGCUACAAUGGAUGAUACAAAGGGCAGCGAAGCCGUGAGGUGGAGCGAAUCUCAUAAAGUCAUUCUCAGUCCGGAUUGAAGUCUGCAACUCGACUUCAUGAAGUUGGAAUCGCUAGUAAUCGCAGAUC
rnacentral:rRNA from 1 species